rnacentral:rRNA from 2 species
AGAGUUUGAUCCUGGCUCAGGAUGAACGCUAGCUACAGGCUUAACACAUGCAAGUCGAGGGGCAGCAUGGUCUUAGCUUGCUAAGGCUGAUGGCGACCGGCGCACGGGUGAGUAACACGUAUCCAACCUGCCGUCUACUCUUGGCCAGCCUUCUGAAAGGAAGAUUAAUCCAGGAUGGGAUCAUGAGUUCACAUGUCCGCAUGAUUAAAGGUAUUUUCCGGUAGACGAUGGGGAUGCGUUCCAUUAGAUAGUAGGCGGGGUAACGGCCCACCUAGUCAACGAUGGAUAGGGGUUCUGAGAGGAAGGUCCCCCACAUUGGAACUGAGACACGGUCCAAACUCCUACGGGAGGCAGCAGUGAGGAAUAUUGGUCAAUGGGCGAUGGCCUGAACCAGCCAAGUAGCGUGAAGGAUGACUGCCCUAUGGGUUGUAAACUUCUUUUAUAAAGGAAUAAAGUCGGGUAUGCAUACCCGUUUGCAUGUACUUUAUGAAUAAGGAUCGGCUAACUCCGUGCCAGCAGCCGCGGU